CGAUUAGGGGUAAACUGAAAAACCGAAAGGUCNAAGGGAGAAAUNCAUUCGCGUUUGACGUUAACAUUGAUGGUNNGNUUGUGUGACGAUGAAUGUGCAUCUAUCGUUCCGCACCGCCAUUCAANGAAUCGACAACAAACGUGUGCACUUUNCUCCUGGUAGGACGUCNCAAUCCGUUGGACGUUGGUCUACGGCACACAGUGGAGCCCGUUUAUCGCACCUAGUGUUUGUAUAACGGACCUGUGUGUUUCCUNNCCGACUUNUUNGACGGUNNAAAUAUGGUUGGAGANCNCNCUUNAUUAUGAGCGUGUGACUAAUGACAAGCGCGUCAGAAGUNUGUUGGCNNNCGGACACUGCCGACUCNGNCCUACGAUGACUGAUGGUUAUAAUGUUNUUUGACAGAUCUUGGAACAUCUGAUGUUCUUAACCGUUUAGCGGCGCUAUAGCUUUGGUUAAUUUCAGGACCCGUCUUGAAACACGGACCAAGGAGUCUAGCAUGUACGCGAGUCAUUGGGAUUUUUAUGAAACCUAAAGGCGUAAUGAAAGUAAAGAUUUUCCUUGCGAAGAUCGAGGGAAGAUGAGUAUUUAUUUAUUUAAAUGCUUCGCACUCCCGGGGCGUCUCAUUCUCAUUAUGAGUCGAGGCGCACCAAGAGCGUACACGCUGGGACCCGAAAGAUGGUGAACUAUGCCUGGUCAGGACGAAGUCAGGGGAAACCCUGAUGGAGGUCCGUAGCGAUUCUGACGUGCAAAUCGAUCGUCGGAACUGGGUAUAGGGGCGAAAGACUAAUCGAACNAUCUAGUAGCUGGU
rnacentral:rRNA from 1 species